rnacentral:rRNA from 1 species
UGGGGAAUUUUGGACAAUGGGCGAAAGCCUGAUCCAGCAAUGCCGCGUGUGUGAAGAAGGCCUUCGGGUUGUAAAGCACUUUUGUCCGGAAAGAAAUCCUUGGCUCUAAUACAGUCGGGGGAUGACGGUACCGGAAGAAUAAGCACCGGCUAACUACGUGCCAGCAGCCGCGGUAAUACGUAGGGUGCAAGCGUUAAUCGGAAUUACUGGGCGUAAAGCGUGCGCAGGCGGUUUGCUAAGACCGAUGUGAAAUCCCCGGGCUCAACCUGGGAACUGCAUUGGUGACUGGCAGGCUAGAGUAUGGCAGAGGGGGGUAGAAUUCCACGUGUAGCAGUGAAAUGCGUAGAGAUGUGGAGGAAUACCGAUGGCGAAGGCAGUCCCCUGGGCCAAUACUGACGCUCAUGCACGAAAGCGUGGGGAGCAAACAGGAUUAGAUACCCUGGUAGUCCACGCCCUAAACGAUGUCAACUAGUUGUUGGGGAUUCAUUUCCUUAGUAACGUAGCUAACGCGUGAAGUUGACCGCCUGGGGAGUACGGUCGCAAGAUUAAAACUCAAAGGAAUUGACGGGGUCAUAGCUGUUUCCU